UUCGGUGUUGUGAUAGAAGCUUUGACAACAACUUCCAAUGGCUCGGAAGGAGGAACGGAAGACAUUGAUACUCUGAGGGGUUUGAAGCUGAAAUGGUUGUUGAAGUGGCUGGUUGAAACGACGUAGUUUGGGCGAUAUCGAAGGUGAUUGACGGUAGCGGAAAGAGCGCACGCCGAAACUUGAAUUCUGACGGUGGACAUUGGCACCGUUAACGUACGUUUGUUUGUAGCUUCAAAAAAGAGAUGAAGCUGAUGAGGUUGUGUUUUGUUCCGGCAAUGUUUACGUGUCAACGUACUAUGUUUCCACAACACAGCUUAAAAUAAACCGGACCGGUUCAAUAGAGUUGGUUUGAUGGGAAUCGAAACUCGUAGCCGGUCCGGAUAGUCUCUACUCUUAUGGGUUUUGACUUUUGAUGUGCGUUACUCUAUAAUUAAAUUGAAGUUAUAGAAGUCACUCUACUCACUUUACAUUCUUUUUAAGAAUUACACUUAAUUUGGAAAAUGAUGCAUUCAAAAAUUUAUUCUAACACAAUACAAAAAUUUACUUUUCUGAAUUUGUACAAUCAAGCAAUUUUUAUUUUUUUUUAGACAAAAAUAUUUCAAGUGAUUUGAAUAUGAGAAGAGUUCCUUUUAAAAUAUAAUAUAAAUAUCCACUAAUUCUGAUUGGGAAGUGUAGUGAAAAUUGAGAAUGCAUGUGAACACAACAUAAGUCUAGAUACAUGAUGAAUCAUGUUCAUAUUUACUCCUUAACAUUAUUAUAACAACAUUACUCUACUCUUUCUAUCUACACCAUCAAUGUUUCAAAUGCUAAUUUCAUUUCAAUUCCUACUAAGAAAAAAAACUUAAAACUGAGAAUAAAUAAAAACGUGAAAAGGUUGAGUUUUUUUACAGUCUCCGAUCUUGUUCGGUGUUGUGAUAGAAGCUUUGACAACAACUUCCAAUGGCUCGGAAGGAGGAACGGAAGACAUUGAUACUCUGAGGGGUUUGAAGCUGAAAUGGUUGUUGAAGUGGCUGGUUGAAACGACGUAGUUUGGGCGAUAUCGAAGGUGAUUGACGGUAGCGGAAAGAGCGCACGCCGAAACUUGAAUUCUGACGGUGGACAUUGGCACCGUUAACGUACGUUUGUUUGUAGCUUCAAAAAAGAGAUGAAGCUGAUGAGGUUGUGUUUUGUUCCGGCAAUGUUUACGUGUCAACGUACUAUGUUUCCACAACACAGCUUAAAAUAAACCGGACCGGUUCAAUAGAGUUGGUUUGAUGGGAAUCGAAACUCGUAGCCGGUCCGGAUAGUCUCUACUCUUAUGGGUUUUGACUUUUGAU
rnacentral:lncRNA from 1 species